rnacentral:rRNA from 1 species
CAGCCGCCGCGGUAAUACGUAGGUGGCAAGCGUUGUCCGGAAUUAUUGGGCGUAAAGGGCUCGCAGGCGGUUUCUUAAGUCUGAUGUGAAAGCCCCCGGCUCAACCGGGGAGGGUCAUUGGAAACUGGGAAACUUGAGUGCAGAAGAGGAGAGUGGAAUUCCACGUGUAGCGGUGAAAUGCGUAGAGAUGUGGAGGAACACCAGUGGCGAAGGCGACUCUCUGGUCUGUAACUGACGCUGAGGAGCGAAAGCGUGGGGAGCAAACAGGAUUAGAUACCCCAGUAGUCCCUGUCUCUUAUAC